rnacentral:misc_RNA from 1 species
UUAGUUUAUUUAACUAGUUUCAGAUUUAACAUGGUUAAAAGAGUUUUGUGUAGGCUACUGACGAGCACUGGCCAGAGGUUACAAACCCCCGGCGGUCCGGUUAAAGACGGGCCCGCCAAAGCAACAUGGUAAUUAUACAAAGGGUUGGAGAUCGAGCCUAGAAGACCCUAACUCAUUAAUGAUCCUUCCGCAGGUUCACCUACGGAACGUUCAACCAGACUUCUCCACAAAGACUGACCGAUCAUAUCUAAAUUCGCGAAUUUGCUAACCACCGGUGUUUGACCUGUGAAUCGUAUAAACGACUGCUAGUUAAACAUUCAAGUACUAUGAACGUUAGGCCUAGCAACAGACCGGUGUAGCCUAUUUAGAAUAGACUGAAAUUCAAGGCUUCGGGAGGUGAAUUACCUACAUCGAUGGUUAA